rnacentral:tRNA from 3 species
AUUUAUAUAAUAUAAAUAAGUAUAAUUGAUUUCCAAUCAAAUAGUCUAAAAUUUUAGUAUAAAUA